CCUACGGGAGGCAGCAGUAGGGAAUAUUGCUCAAUGGGGGAAACCCUGAAGCAGCAACGCCGCGUGGAGGAUGAAGGUUUUAGGAUUGUAAACUCCUUUUGUAAGAGAAGAUUAUGACGGUAUCUUACGAAUAAGCACCGGCUAACUCCGUGCCAGCAGCCGCGGUAAUACGGAGGGUGCACGCGUUCUUCGGAAUCACUGGGCGUAAAGAGCGUGUAGGUGGCUGGUCAAGUCAGAUGUGAAAUCGUGUAGCUUAACUACAGAACUGCACU
rnacentral:rRNA from 1 species